GUGUUUAAUACCUACAAGUAGAAAUAAGUUAUACAAAUCUAUCCAAUCCACAAGUCCUCUGUUGGAGGUAGUGUUUAAUACCUACAAGUAGAAAUAAGAGUUAUACAAAUCUAUCCAAUCCACAAGUCCUCUGUUGGAGGUAGUGUUUAAUACCUACAAGUAGAAAUAAGAGUUAUACAAAUCUAUCCAAUCCACAAGUCCUCUGUUGGAGGUAGUGUUUAAUACCUACAAGUAGAAAUAAGUUAUACAAAUCUAUCCAAUCCACAAGUCCUCUGUUGGAGGUAGUGUUUAAUACCUACAAGUAGAAAUAAGAGUUAUACAAAUCUAUCCAAUCCACAAGUCCUCUGUUGGAGGUAGUGUUUAAUACCUACAAGCAGAAAUAAGAGUUAUACAAAUCUAUCCAAUCCACAAGUCCUCUGUUGGAGGUAGUGUUUAAUACCUACAAGUAGAAAUAAGAGUUAUACAAAUCUAUCCAAUCCACAAGUCCUCUGUUGGAGGUAGUGUUUAAUACCUACAAGCAGAAAUAAGAGUUAUACAAAUCUAUCCAAUCCACAAGUCCUCUGUUGGAGGUAGUGUUUAAUACCUACAAGUAGAAAUAAGAGUUAUACAAAUCUAUCCAAUCCACAAGUCCUCUGUUGGAGGUAGUGUUUAAUACCUACAAGCAGAAAUAAGAGUUAUACAAAUCUAUCCAA